UACGAAGGGGGCUAGCGUUGCUCGGAAUUACUGGGCGUAAAGCGCACGUAGGCGGUCUUUUUAAGUCGGGGGUGAAAUCCUGGAGCUCAACUCCAGAACUGCCUUCGAUACUGGAAGACUCGAGUCCGGGAGAGGUGAGUGGAACUGCGAGUGUAGAGGUGAAAUUCGUAGAUAUUCGGAAGAAACACCAGUGGCGAAGGCGACACACUGGGCCAUUACUGACGCUG
rnacentral:rRNA from 1 species